GAAUACCCUUUCAUGAAUUUUUCAUGCAUUUAGAAAAAAUCCCAAUGUAAAAGUACAUAAUUCAGAUUUUUAUCUCUUACAUUUUGACAAGUUGUAUAGAUUAGAAGGUCCGGUGUUCUGUGCAACCUUAUAGACAAAACUUGGGUGCUGAUAAGUUUAAAUUAUAUGUAACAAGUGUUAGCUACCAAAAAAAAAAAUUAUGGGAGGCUGUGAUUUAUUUAGCUGUAGAUUUUUCGCAAUUGAUUAAGUUUGGGAGAGUUUAAAAUUGGGAGGAAGCAAAAUUAGCAACUUGGAUAAUUUAACUCAAAAUAGUCAAAUAAUACUCUAUUCAUUUCACAUCACCUGUGGGGGGAUAAAAUCCUGGUCUUGCCUUUUGAAAUUGCUAUCAAGUUGUGUGAAUUAUUCCCCCAAUCACUUUCUACUUGGAGUUAAAUGUUUGGAGAUACAUAGACAAAAAAUGCCAUUUGUUUGCUUUUAAAAAAAAUAAAAUCAGCAAGUUGCAUUUUGAAGAUGGUAGUUUGUUUCAAUUUCCCUACUAUCUGCCAAAUUCCCUCACUGCUUUAAGUUCCCUGCCUCUAUUUUCAUGCUUUCAGAUUCAUUACUAUCUCGGCAUAGCAUGUUGUAAGUGCUAAUUUGAAAUCUUAUUUAGAUGGACCUUAUUCUACAUUUAGUUUGGUGCCAAUUGACACAAAAAAUAAAUAAAUAAAUAAAAUCUUGUGGGAAAGAUUUCAAUUAAUAUAAAUUUCGAGGAAUAUGGACCACCGUGGUUAAGUACAGAGCAUUUGAAUGAGAUAAUUGAUAAACAUCAGAGCAGUGAAAGAUGGAAGAAGAAAUAUAAACUUGGCCGUGAUAACCGACUCAUUGUAAAGUCAAGAACCAUUACUAAGCACACUGCUGGCUCAAUGACAAUUGUUGCCCACGAGCUAAGGCUGGAAGUGUUUAAUUUUAUGAAUUAAUUUCAUAGAUGAUUGACAUGCUGUGAGUUAUCUUAUUCUAUCUGUUAAAAGAGUUAUUAUUCUGUCCAUUUAUUUUACAAUUCCAUUUGUUAGAUGUGUGCAUAUGAUCAUUUCGAAAUGAAACUAAAAUAAGGACUGAAUAUGAGAAAAAUCGGCAUGUUCUGUCUAGUUGAAAUCGAAACCAAAACCAAUUUCAUGUUGUAUUCAUUUAGAGUGUGUUUGAUUA
rnacentral:lncRNA from 1 species